rnacentral:rRNA from 1 species
UACAGAGGGUGCGAGCGUUAAUCGGAAUUACUAGGCGUAAAGCGUGCGCAGGCGGUUAUGCAAGACAGAUGUGAAAUCCCCGGGCUCAACCUGGGAACUGCAUUUGUGACUGCAUAGCUAGAGUACGGUAGAGGGGGAUGGAAUUCCGCGUGUAGCAGUGAAAUGCGUAGAUACGCGGAGGAACACCGAUGGCGAAGGCAAUCCCCUGGGCCUGCACUGACGCUCAUGCACGAAAGCGUGGGGAGCAAACAGG